rnacentral:rRNA from 1 species
UACGUAGGGUGCAAGCGUUAAUCGGAAUUACUGGGCGUAAAGCGUGCGCAGGCGGUUUUGUAAGUCUGUCGUGAAAGCCCCGGGCUCAACCUGGGAAUUGCGAUGGAGACUGCAAGGCUUGAAUCUGGCAGAGGGGGGGUAGAAUUCCACGUGUAGCAGUGAAAUGCGUAGAGAUGUGGAGGAACACCGAUGGCGAAGGCAGCCCCCUGGGUCAAGAUUGACGCUCGAUGCACGAAAGCGUGGGGAGCAAACAGGA